AACAAAAACGUGAAUGGUAUUACGAAGAUUACACAGAUAGCAAAGUUGAAGCUUACGUAAUCUUAUCCAUAGCUUUUUCGUAUUUCGUCUUAUUUCCCUCGUGCCUUUUCCUAUUUCCCGUAAUUCCUGAAAAUGUGGUUCCGACAUUAACAACAUGACAACCAUCGAUAUUUUCCUUUUGAUUGCUUUUCGUUAAUUAUUCU
rnacentral:ribozyme from 14 species